rnacentral:rRNA from 1 species
GACGAACGCUGGCGGCGUGCUUAACACAUGCAAGUCGAACGGAAAGGCCCCUUUGGGGGUCCUCGAGUGGCGAACGGGUGAGUAACACGUGAGUAACCUGCCCUUGACUUCGGGAUAACUUCAGGAAACUGGGGCUAAUACCGGAUAGGAAUCCUUGCUGCAUGGUGGGGGUUGGAAAGCUUCGGCGGUUUUGGAUGGACUCGCGGCUUAUCAGCUUGUUGGUGGGGUAGUGGCUUACCAAGGCUUUGACGGGUAGCCGGCCUGAGAGGGCGACCGGCCACAUUGGGACUGAGAUACGGCCCAGACUCCUACGGGAGGCAGCAGUGGGGAAUAUUGCACAAUGGGCGGAAGCCUGAUGCAGCAACGCCGCGUGCGGGAUGACGGCCUUCGGGUUGUAAACCGCUUUCGCCUGUGACGAAGCGUGAGUGACGGUAAUGGGUAAAGAAGCACCGGCUAACUACGUG